AACUGAGACACGGUCCAAACUCCUACGGGAGGCAGCAGUGAGGAAUAUUGGUCAAUGGACGAGAGUCUGAACCAGCCAAGUAGCGUGAAGGAUGACUGCCCUAUGGGUUGUAAACUUCUUUUAUACGGGAAUAAAGUGAGGCACGUGUGCCUUUUUGUAUGUACCGUAUGAAUAAGGAUCGGCUAACUCCGUGCCAGCAGCCGCGGUAAUACGGAGGAUCCGAGCGUUAUCCGGAUUUAUUGGGUUUAAAGGGAGCGUAGGCGGACGCUUAAGUCAGUUGUGAAAGUUUGCGGCUCAACCGUAAAAUUGCAGUUGAUACUGGGUGUCUUGAGUACAGUAGAGGCAGGCGGAAUUCGUGGUGUAGCGGUGAAAUGCUUAGAUAUCACGAAGAACUCCGAUUGCGAAGGCAGCUUGCUGGACUGUAACUGACGCUGAUGCUCGAAAGUGUGGGUAUCAAACAGGAUUAGAUACCCUGGUAGUCCACACAGUAAACGAUGAAUACUCGCUGUUUGCGAUAUACAGUAAGCGGCCAAGCGAAAGCGUUAAGUAUUCCACCUGGGGAGUACGCCGGCAACGGUGAAACUCAAAGGAAUUGACGGGGGCCCGCACAAGCGGAGGAACAUGUGGUUUAAUUCGAUGAUACGCGAGGAACCUUACCCGGGCUUGAAUUGCAACUGAAUGAUGUGGAGACAUGUCAGCCGCAAGGCAGUUGUGAAGGUGCUGCAUGGUUGUCGUCAGCUCGUGCCGUGAGGUGUCGGCUUAAGUGCCAUAACGAGCGCAACCCUUAUCGAUAGUUACCAUCAGGUUAUGCUGGGGACUCUGUCGAGACUGCCGUCGUAAGAUGUGAGGAAGGUGGGGAUGACGUCAAAUCAGCACGGCCCUUACGUCCGGGGCUACACACGUGUUACAAUGGGGGGUACAGAAGGCAGCUACACGGCGACGUGAUGCUAAUCCCGAAAGCCUCUCUCAGUUCGGAUUGGAGUCUGCAACCCGACUCCAUGAAGCUGGAUUCGCUAGUAAUCGCGCAUCAGCCACGGCGCGGUGAAUACGUUCCCGGGCCUUGUACACACCGCCCGUCAAGCCAUGAAAGCCGGGGGUACCUGAAGUGCGUAACCGCAAGGAGCGCCCUAGGGUAAAACUGGUGAUUGGGGCUAAGUCGUAACAAGGUAGCCGUACCGGAAGGUGCGGCUGGAACACCU
rnacentral:rRNA from 1 species